rnacentral:lncRNA from 1 species
UUGUGUUUCUGUAUUGUUUUCUAGCAAUAAGACUGAUGAUCUUUUUCUGAUUUCAGCUAGAAAAUAAUAAAUCAAUGUUGAAUAUACAUCUAACAAUCAUGUCAAAAAGCCCAAUGAUCCCAAUGCUCACAGCCAGAAAUUCUGUAGGUGUGUUCGUACCCGCUGACAGCAUAUCACAGAAAGCAAAGGCCAAGUCAUGCUAAAAUGAAUUCUAACAAAACAUCACCUGGGUUCCACGCUGAAAAUGUCAACACUGAAUAAUAACGUCAGCUGCAAAAAAGUUGUAUAUAUUAAUACAGGAC